rnacentral:rRNA from 1 species
UGGGGAAUUUUGGACAAUGGGCGAAAGCCUGAUCCAGCAAUGCCGCGUGUGUGAAGAAGGCCUUCGGGUUGUAAAGCACUUUUGUCCGGAAAGAAAUCCUCUGGGUUAAUACCUCGGGGGGAUGACGGUACCGGAAGAAUAAGCACCGGCUAACUACGUGCCAGCAGCCGCGGUAAUACGUAGGGUGCAAGCGUUAAUCGGAAUUACUGGGCGUAAAGCGUGCGCAGGCGGUUUUGUAAGACGGAUGUGAAAUCCCCGGGCUUAACCUGGGAACUGCAUUCGUGACUGCAAGGCUAGAGUAUGGCAGAGGGGGGUAGAAUUCCUCGUGUAGCAGUGCAAUGCGUAGAGAUGUGGAGGAAUACCGAUGGCGAAGGCAGCCCCCUGGGCCAAUACUGACGCUCAUGCACGAAAGCGUGGGGAGCAAACA